rnacentral:lncRNA from 1 species
AUACUGGCUGAAGUACAGUUCAGCAUAUGGAGUCUAUUCCAAGAAAUGGAGGGAGAGAAAUCAAAACACAUGUUUUUCAAAAGUGCUGGAAUGGCCGGAUUAGCAGAAAUUACAAAUGGUCUGGAAGAGUUAAAAAGAAGGUGUUUAAGAAGCUGCUCAGAAGAGGGUUUUGCCUGGAACCACGUGGUUUCCUAGUUGAAAAUAGCUAGUGAAACUGGCAAUACAAAAAGAAGUGGAUCAUCACCCUCUUUUUCAUAAUUUAGUUGGGUUAAUGUAUUGAAAAAUCUGUGCAAAAACAUCAUGUGGGCAGCCUAUGCAAAGGGGAUUUUUCCUCAGAAACCUCAGCACAGAGGAUAUAAAGAAACAACUGCUUUCCCUUCAAUUUCCAAGAAGUCUCUGGAAAACACAAAAACAGCACAGUAAUUUGAACAGCCAGAGAUCAUCCAAAACCCUUCAGGAACUGUUCUUCUCCCCACAGAUUUCAUGUUCCCAGCAAUCUCUGUACAAAGCUGUCAGCUCUAAGUGGGCUGGGCAUCAUAUGGAGCAUCGCCUUGCUCGAAGGCUGAAGCAGCCGGUUGGACGUCAGGCAGCACUUGAGGAUGAAAGUCUAGCUGCCUUGGGAAAUACAGAGGCUUUUACUCUGAGGUCCAAAGAAAAAACUACAGAUCAGGCCAGAAGUCACCAUGCAAAUUCCAGUGCAUUUUCAGGUAGAUCUCAACAGAAGGAUAAAACCUGUUUAUCAGAAGAGGAGUUAUUCUUCAAAAGGCACACAACAGCAAUGCAGAGAGGAGUAAAUUUAAAUAAUUGGGUCCUGCCAACCCAGAGAACAGAUGAAAUACCUCACUUGAAGAGCCUGGAGAUUAGUGAUGACAAGGGAAACAACAGAGUGAUGACAGACUCAUUGAAAAGUGCUUUGUUAGAAACUGUUGCUUUAGCUAAAAAUGAGCAUUCCAGUCAGGAUAAUGGAGCAGACAGACCUGUCUACAGUGAAUCCUCAUCACAAAGUACAGCUCAGCUGGAGCCGCAGUCUGCAAGCAGGGCUGAAAAAACAAAGUCUUCUACUCCUUUGUUACUCAGGAGCUGGGAGGUGCCUGCUAAUCUGGGAGAAGAUAAACAACGGGACCCUCCUGAUAGUGACAGAGACAGGACUAUAAUUAGGGGACACAUCAAUAUACCAUAUUCAGUCAGAAAGAAAGUCUUUAUGGUCUACAUUUGUGGAGGUUAUCAAAGUAUAGCAAUUGGAAACCAGCCCCAUUCCCACCACAGACACUCCCACACCCUGAGAUUCCUGGACUAUCAUGUCUAAUUAUUAUUAUUCACUAUAUAGUGCCAGGAAGUCUAGUUUCAGGGAAAGAGCAUAAGACUGGGAGUCAGGAGGUUGUUGUUCUAAGUCUGACUGCCCUUGACUCACUGUUUGGCCUACAGCAAGUUGUUUCAUUUAUUGUCUCAGUUUUUCCAUCUGUAAAGUAAGAAUAAUAAUAUGUACCUACCUAUCUAUCACCUGGGGUUAAUGUGUUAUUGUUUGUACAGUGCUCUAAACAUAUGAAGUGCUAUUCACAUGUAAAGUGUGUGUGUGGGCGGGUGGGGAGGUGGAGAAAGACAGGUACCUGCCCUGAAAAACUUGCUAUCUAAAUAGACAUCAUUUAGGCAAAAAAAGUGUGUGUUAGUGGAAAUGGCAGUCAUCACUAGACUUUUUUUACAUUUAAAUAAGAGUUCCAGGACCCUAGCGUGUGAAACGUCAAACGAGUAUGAACAAGUCAGUCAAUUAAAAAAAGAAACAAUAAAAUUUUCACAUGAUGUCA